rnacentral:rRNA from 1 species
CCUGGUAGUCCACGCCGUAAACGAUGUCGACUUGGAGGCUGUUUCCUUGAGAAGUGGCUUCCGGAGCUAACGCGUUAAGUCGACCGCCUGGGGAGUACGGCCGCAAGGUUAAAACUCAAAUGAAUUGACGGGGGCCCGCACAAGCGGUGGAGCAUGUGGUUUAAUUCGAUGCAACGCGAAGAACCUUACCUACUCUUGACAUCCACGGAAUUUGGCAGAGAUGCCUUAGUGCCUUCGGGAACCGUGAGACAGGUGCUGCAUGGCUGUCGUCAGCUCGUGUUGUGAAAUGUUGGGUUAAGUCCCGCAACGAGCGCAACCCUUAUCCUUUGUUGCCAGCGAUUCGGUCGGGAACUCAAAGGAGACUGCCGGUGAUAAACCGGAGGAAGGUGGGGAUGACGUCAAGUCAUCAUGGCCCUUACGAGUAGGGCUACACACGUGCUACAAUGGCGCAUACAAAGAGAAGCGACCUCGCGAGAGCAAGCGGACCUCAUAAAGUGCGUCGUAGUCCGGAUCGGAGUCUGCAACUCGACUCCGUGAAGUCGGAAUCGCUAGUAAUCGUGGAUCAGAAUGCCACGGUGAAUACGUUCCCGGGCCUUGUACACACCGCCCGUCACACCAUGGGAGUGGGUUGCAAAAGAAGUAGGUAGCUUAACCUUCGGGAGGGCGCUUACCACUUUGUGAUUCAUGACUGGGGUGAAGUCGUAACAAGGUA